UUAAUAUAGAUAAAGAAUUAAUAAUAUUGAUAAUAUGGCUGAAUUAAAAACUAAUUAGUGAUAAAACGUAGAUAAGGAAAUUAAGGGAGUAUUAUUUGGCCAGAAUUCUGCAAUUUUAUUUACGUACUUUUGUAAUUUUAUUUAAAUACUAUUAUCUUCGGUGUAAAUGAAAUUUAAGCUACCGAUCUCUUCUUUAAACCCUCCAUUUAUGGUGACUACAAAAUCUUCUCCAUUCUCAAAUGCUGAAAGUGCAUCUGCAAGAUUCAUACGAAAUGCUAGAAAAAUUUACAAAAUUUACAAUAAGUAACAAUUCAUUUAUAGUUAAUUAAUUAAUUGAAUAUCCU
rnacentral:misc_RNA from 1 species